AGCGAACGCUGGCGGCAGGCCUAACACAUGCAAGUCGAACGAAGUCUUCGGACUUAGUGGCGGACGGGUGAGUAACACGUGGGAACGUGCCUUUAGGUUCGGAAUAACUCAGGGAAACUUGUGCUAAUACCGAAUGUGCCCCUCGGGGGAAAGAUUUAUCGCCUUUAGAGCGGCCCGCGUCUGAUUAGCUAGUUGGUGAGGUAAAGGCUCACCAAGGCGACGAGCAGUAGCUGGUCUGAGAGGAUGAUCAGCCACAUUGGGACUGAGGCACGGCCCAAACUCCGACGGGAGGCAGCAGUGGGGAAUCGUGCGCAAUGGGCGAAGGCCUGACGCAGCCAUGCCGCGUGAAUGAUGAAGGUCUUAGGAUUGUAAAAUUCUUUCACCGGGGACGAUAAUGACGUUACCCGGAGAAGAAGCCCCGGCUAACUUCGUGCCAGCCGCCGCCGUAACAC
rnacentral:rRNA from 1 species